rnacentral:rRNA from 1 species
UACGUAGGGGGCGAGCGUUGUCCGGAUUUAUUGGGCGUAAAGAGCGUGUAGGCGGCCAGGUAGGUCUGCUGUGAAAACUCGAGGCUCAACCUCGAGACGUCGGCGGAAACCAUCUGGCUAGAGUCCGGAAGAGGAGAGUGGAAGUUCCUGGAUGUAGCGGUGAAAUGCGCAGAUAUCGGGAAGAACACCCGUGGCGAAGGCGGUUCUCUGGGACGGUCUGACGCUGAGACGCGAAAGCGUGGGGAGCGAACAGG